rnacentral:rRNA from 1 species
GACGAACGCUGGCGGCGUGCCUAAUACAUGCAAGUCGAGCGGACGAAUCGAAAGCUUGCUUUUGAUUCGUUAGCGGCGGACGGGUGAGUAACACGUGGGCAACCUGCCCUGUAGACGGGGAUAACACCGAGAAAUCGGUGCUAAUACCGGAUAACACGAAAUGUCGCAUGACGUUUCGUUGAAAGACGGCGCACGCUGUCGCUACAGGAUGGUCCCGCGGCGCAUUAGCUAGUUGGUGAGGUAACGGCUCACCAAGGCGACGAUGCGUAGCCGACCUGAGAGGGUGAUCGGCCACACUGGGACUGAGACACGGCCCAGACUCCUACGGGAGGCAGCAGUAGGGAAUCUUCCGCAAUGGACGAAAGUCUGACGGAGCAACGCCGCGUGAGCGAAGAAGGCCUUCGGGUCGUAAAGCUCUGUUGUUAGGGAAGAACAAGUAACGCAGUAACUGGCGUUACCGUGACGGUACCUAACGAGAAAGCCACGGCUAACUACGUG